AGUUCUGCAAUGAUGAAGUUGCAUAAAUAUAUGUCUGGACAUAUGAAAUUUUCUAAUGAUAUCAUUUGCUUCUUCUGAGCAGAAUU